UUCUAGUUUUAUUCAGGACGACAAAGACUCGGAUUACAAUUAGGAACCUAACCAAAGUCAACAGCAUUGACAAUGGCAGCAACAACAGUGUUCAUUUUAAAAUGAAAACAAGUACAAAAAGCAAAGAACAAAAAAAAUAAGAAGUGAACUAAACGAGCUGGCAGCGCAAAAGCGCGAUGAACGCUGUGUCACUAAUUCAGUUGUUGUCGGUGGUGGUGCUGUGACUUGUUGUUGUUAAGCGAGAAUAGCGAGAAACCGAGAAAACCAAUUUUCAUUUUCAUUUUGUGGCCAACGCAGCGCACAGAAGACAAAACAAAUGACUGACUGACGUGCGGGACGAAAGGCAACCGAACGAACGGAACCCUUUAUCUUAGACCCACCGCUCCCCGCCUCCCAACGACUGUCGAAGUCGAAGGACAGGCCAGCAGGAGCAAAACCAAGAAAUGCGAUUAACAUUUGAACAGUGAGCAAAAGGGCAGCGAUGCGAAGCCUUUUGUGGUGGCCGGCACGUAGGCUGACGUUCCACACGGCGUAUGCUUAAUUUGAAUGAAGUGGCAACGUUGUUAAUAGCACUCCGCACAACCCUUUUACCUGCACAGGUGCUCUGCUUUUAACGAUGCUGUUUACUUUGCAUUUAAUGUGACAGGCUGCCAAGGAAAAGAAUUAGAAUGUAAACCAACCCGGAGAAAAUGUUGGCACAGCAAACAUUGUUAAAAAGAAAUUGGCUAAAAAUGUUGCCUACAUAAAUGAUGACAAAUGCAAAAAUAACGACGAACGAACAAAUUACA
rnacentral:sRNA from 1 species